rnacentral:rRNA from 1 species
CGAACGGAAUUUUGAAGCUUCCGUCGAUAAAUUCUAGUGGCGGACGGGUGAGUAACGCGUGGGUACCUGCCUUAACAGGGGGAUAACAGUCAGAAAUGGCUGCUAAUACCGCAUAAGGCUGCAUGGCAAAAACUCCGGUGGUAUAAGAUGGACCCGCGUUGGAUUAGCUAGUUGGUGGGGUAACGGCCCACCAAGGCGACGAUCCAUAGCCGGCCUGAGAGGGUGAACGGCCACAUUGGGACUGAGACACGGCCCAGACUCCUACGGGAGGCAGCAGUGGGGAAUAUUGCACAAUGGGGGAAACCCUGAUGCAGCGACGCCGCGUGAAGGAAGAAGUAUCUCGGUAUGUAAACUUCUAUCAGCAGGGAAGAUAGUGACGGUACCUGACUAAGAAGCCCCGGCUAACUACGUGCCAGCAGCCGCGGUAAUACGUAGGGGGCAAGCGUUAUCCGGAUUUACUGGGUGUAAAGGGAGCGUAGACGGUGUGGCAAGUCUGAUGUGAAAGGCAUGGGCUCAACCUGUGGACUGCAUUGGAAACUGUCAUACUUGAGUGCCGGAGGGGUAAGCGGAAUUCCUAGUGUAGCAGUGAAAUGCGUAGAUAUUAGGAGGAACACCAGUGGCGAAGGCGGCUUACUGGACGGUAA